rnacentral:rRNA from 1 species
UGUGUAGGCGGUUCUCUAAGUCUGGUGUGAAAUCUCCCGGCUCAACUGGGAGGGUGCGCCGAAAACUGGAGGGCUAGAGUGUGGGAUGGGAGAGUGGAAUUCCUGGUGUAGCGGUGAAAUGCGUAGAUAUCAGGAGGAACACCUGUGGUGUAGACGGCUCUCUGGACCGCAACUGACGCUGAGACACGAAAGCGUGGGUAGCAAACAGGAUUAGAUACCCUGGUAGUCCACGCCCUAAACGAUGCAUAUUUGGUGUGGGCCAUUCAUUUGGUCCGUGCCGGAGCUAACGCGUUAAAUAUGCCGCCUGGGGAGUACGGUCGCAAGGCUGAA